UCAGCACUGCCCACGCGUUAGGGCACCAUGCAGGGCCCCACGUGAUUUAAGUUGGGAUGGUGAGAUGGCAGCAUCCACCUUGCGUCCGCUGUCCAAGAAUGCAUCUCACAAAUGCAGCUGAAGUGACGGAGACAAGGAUGUUUAUCUAAUCGGGUACCAUUUCUUUGGUGUUAUCUUCUCACCUCCUGUCACUGUACGUGCUUCAUUUGUUUGCUUUUGAAUCGUCAUGCCUUUGCCCUGCGCCUCAAGCUACAUCCCAUUAUUAUUUAGUAUAAGCACAUGGAUGACCUCGUUAGCAUAAACAAGUGUUGUUCUACCAGCUUUCAUCAAUAAUCUAUCCUUUGCUGACGCCCAUGGUGACACCUUUUCCAGCUGAACCUUGAUGGUUUGAUUAGGCUCAGGGAAUCAUACAGCUCAGCUUCGAGAUGUUCGUUGCCGCCCAUGGGAAAAGUCCGAGUACUCCUGACUGUAGCAGUGGAUAAGGAAGUGCUUGUGAACAAGCAAACAAUUACAAUGGGAGAGCAAAAAGGAACUCCACGCAGUGGCUACUGAAACCUGAAAGGAAUUCAUUAUUGGAGCCAACAACGUGUAGGUAAAAAAGAUAAAAAGAGGGAAGAAGCCGGAAAAGGGGAAAAGAAAUCAAGAAGAGGACGAUCUAUGUACGUCAACUACAAAGGAAGGAAGAUCCGCCAAUCGUACGCCGCACGGCUGCUCUUCUCGAUCGGAUCGACGGCGGGGGUGACCGUCACCCGGUGGUCCCCAGCCACGACGCCGGCACCAGCCCCCGGCGGAGCACCACCGAAUACUCCGGCAGUUCUCCGAGCCCGGCGAACAGCGAGUCCUCCUCGGCCCCCCCGCCUCCCCCCGCGGCCUGCUCCUCCAGUUCCUCGGGCAGCGCGGCCGCGGCCCCGGCGAAGAUGACCGACCCGUAGAGCAGCUCGUGGGAGUUAUCGACAGAAGGGGAGGCCGAGGGCGUGAAGCAGACGUCGGCAAACCACGGGAAGCCGCCACGCGCGUCGACCGUGAGCGCCGACUCCUCCUCUGCGAUCGGAUCGGAGAAUUUCUCGUCGCGCUCCGCGGAGUCCGGCGUGCCGGAUUGGCCCAGCUGCUCCUCGGGUCGUGCCGCGGCGUGCUUGUGGUGGUGGUUCCUGGGGACCGGCCAGGUGUGGUUGUGCUCGAAGGAGUAGGUAACCACGAUCACGGCUGGGUCGACGCGGCUCCGCUCCACCUGCUUCCUCGCCGGGCACCCCUUGGAGCUGCUGCACCUGUAGUAACCCCUGCACGUCCCAUCAAAAUCACCAGAUCGGUUUCAUCUUCUUCUCCAUCUCCCUUGUGCUUCUUUCUACUGUAAAAAAAAAAGAAAAUACGUACAAACCUGGGAUAAGGUGAACCUUUGAUAGGCUUCUGGCCGUACUUCCUCCAGGUCCACGAAUCCGGUGGCGGAGCCCCCUCGCCGCCGCCCUUCGCCUCGCUGAUCGGCAUCGUCACCACCCGCUUCUGCACCGCCCGCCGGCUGUUCAUCCACGAUCCCAGUUUAAUGCCAGUAAAUCAAGAACACUAAGAAGGGCACGGAACAAGAAUCGAAUAGCUGUCGAAGGAGAAGAAGGAUCCACCAUCUCUUGGGACAUGGAGCCGAAGACCGGACGGGCUGCGAGUCGUCGGUCGAUCCAGCUGACACCGGCCUCCCAUCGUUGGCCUCGGAUGCGUCCCCGACCUCGUCCGCCUCGGAUGCGCCGGGCUCGUUGCUGCAGCUCCCGGUCAUUACGAUCCACGAAGAAGCAAAAUAAUUAAAGCUGUACCAACUAUAUGCUCCGCAGCUGAUCCUCCAAGGCAAGCACUCAAUCACUCACUUUGCUCGAACCGGACAAGAGAGCUUUGCACCAACAUGGCACAAAAGAGCUUUCUUGGGGAAUGGAUAGAGGAAGAAGAGAAACGGGGAGAGGUGAAGGGUGUUGGGUGGAGGAGCAGAUGGGGACAGGAGGCAGUUCUAGUAGUCAUCGCAGGCGCACAUCCAAGCUAUUAAAAAAGCACAUAAUGGCCGGGUCGCCUGGGCUAGACUUUGUCUACGAGUUGCUCGCCAUGACUGCACGGGGAGAGGAAGAGGAUGAAGCGAUGUGGGGGCACAUAACUCCACCUAAACUACUGAAAGAGGCCCGCCCCCACCAUCAUGCCAAUAUAUUAGUGGUAGCAGCCCCAGCCAUGCCCUUCUAUUAUUGAACCGAUGAGAUCCGGAACAUGAGGGAGGCGAGCUUCACGAUGGCAACUUGCUUUUGCUAAUCAUCUUCUCUUUUCACAGCUAUUUCGUCUUGAGGAUAAGUUCCCCAUCUGCUAUUGGUGAGUCGGGAUGCCGUGGGACCCGGUGAAUCCAUCAACCUCGAGUCACCUUCAUCUAGAAAGCCUGGAGUCUGGACCCUGUCUGAGCUCACACAGCUACGCAAAUCUUCCUUGUCAUUUGCCUUGGUGCAUAAGAAACUUGGCCUUUUUUUUC